CUGGCUCAGAUUGAACGCUGGCGGCAGGCCUAACACAUGCAAGUCGAGCGGUAGAGAGAAGCUUGCUUCUCUUGAGAGCGGCGGACGGGUGAGUAAUGCCUAGGAAUCUGCCUGGUAGUGGGGGAUAACGUUCGGAAACGGACGCUAAUACCGCAUACGUCCUACGGGAGAAAGCAGGGGACCUUCGGGCCUUGCGCUAUCAGAUGAGCCUAGGUCGGAUUAGCUAGUUGGUGAGGUAAUGGCUCACCAAGGCGACGAUCCGUAACUGGUCUGAGAGGAUGAUCAGUCACACUGGAACUGAGACACGGUCCAGACUCCUACGGGAGGCAGCAGUGGGGAAUAUUGGACAAUGGGCGAAAGCCUGAUCCAGCCAUGCCGCGUGUGUGAAGAGGGUCUUCGGAUUGUAAAGCACUUUAAGUUGGGAGGAAGGGUUGUAGAUUAAUACUCUGCAAUUUUGACGUUACCGACAGAAUAAGCACCGGCUAACUCUGUGCCAGCAGCCGCGGUAAUACAGAGGGUGCAAGCGUUAAUCGGAAUUACUGGGCGUAAAGCGCGCGUAGGUGGUUUGUU
rnacentral:rRNA from 1 species